GGUGUUGCAUGGCUGUCGUCAGCUCGUGUCGUGAGAUGUUGGGUUAAGUCCCGCAACGAGCGCAACCCUCAUCCUUAGUUACCAUCAGGUAAUGCUGGGGACUUUAAGGAAACUGCCAGUGAUAAACUGGAGGAAGGUGGGGAUGAUGUCAAGUCAUCAUGGCCCUUAUGGAGUGGGCUACACACGUGCUACAAUGGUGGCUACAAUGGGCUGCAAAGUCGCGAGGCUAAGCUAAUCCCUNAAAAGCCAUCUCAGUUCGGAUUGUACUCUGCAACUCGAGUGCAUGAAGUUGGAAUCGCUAGUAAUCGUGGAUCAGCACGCCACGGUGAAUACGUUCCCGGGUCUUGUACACAC
rnacentral:rRNA from 1 species